rnacentral:sRNA from 2 species
AGUGAACUUCGUUUGAAGCGAAAAUCCUUUUUGAGGCUUUUCUGCCUCAAAAAGAUUGUAGCGUAAAGCCCGACCCUUG